rnacentral:rRNA from 1 species
ACAACAAGCACCUAUGGAGCAUCCGCACUUGCACAACAAAUUUGACUGUAAGUGCUAUUUUUUAUGCACUUUAAAAUACAUAUAACACGAUGCCAAACUGCAGAGAAAGACCAAAUGCAAACUGAUCCCAUAUACUGUACCAAGAUGAACCUCAAGUACAGCCAAACAUCAAGACCAGAAGUUGGAAAUCUAAAGCAUUAUACCACUACUGAACAUAUGAGGCCAACUAUAUUAGUAUUUUUGAACUGCCCGUGAUGGAGCACCUGGUCGUCAACAACAUCACAGGCUGCGCAUACCGCAGCACAGCUUGGCACUGCUCCCUCGGCCCAGCUGCAUAGCAGCUGCAGGCGACCUCGAGCAUGGCCAUGGGCGGCGGCGGCCUUGAGCACAGCUGGAGCCAAGUCAUCUGCAGAGGAGCCCGCCAUGGCCGUGGGACACCAUAGAGCCAGCUCGUCUGCAGAGGAGCUGGAUGGUGGACUACUCUGAAUCCAUUCUUUUCAGACAACGGACACCGUGUCAUACUUUCCUACUAAUCCAUACUCCCAUGGUAAUCCAAGGUGAAGUUCAGGUUCAGAUGCCCCGAUGGACCGAAAGAACUCCUGCAGAUUUUUUCGCUGCAAAAAGUGUUGUCAUCCUCACUCGUGCGACAGUGAUAUGCGCGAUGAAUCCACCUACGGGAUGGAAUGGGAGGGAGAAGGUCAUCAUGGAUGUGCAGUGCUCGGGGAGAAAACGAGAGGAAGGAGGCUGAUGGCUGUCUGUUGGUCGUGCCAGCAAUGGUGGUCGGUGGCGCACCGACCAGAUCCGGCUGGACCUGCGCGCGGAGCUCCACUCCUCCGCCUCCACCCAGACGCGCGUGUGGCUCCACUCCUCCGCCGUCAAGCGAGCAGAUUAGGAAGGAGCUCCUCUGCUCCGUUGAGGAUGCUCGGAGGUGGGGACAACACCGCCGCCCGCCUGGAACAACGACGGCGACGCAGCUACUCGAGGCGAUGGCCCGAUCUUCUUCCCAUGGAGGAGCAUGGCGACGACAUCCUGGGGACCUCGGCGGCAGUAGGAAACGGGGAGCACGGGCAGGUGGACCUCGGCGGCGGCGCCUGGUGGUGGUUCGCACAGGGAGUGGUAUUCGUGAGGGGGUGCGGGGAGGCAGGUGCGACGUGCUGGGAAGGCGGCCGACGACACGCUAGGCAGAGGUGGGGAUGGCGGCCGAUGGCGCACUGGGUGGUUGCGGGGAGGGAGGCAAUUGGAUCCGGGGAUAAGAUGGGCGGGGCCUUUUCCUUUUUUU